UAGAACAGCAUUUUUAUAUGUUAGUCACUUUACUUGUAGCUACAGGAGUGCACUAGAUAGACAACCUUAUCAAAAUAAGUUCAGUUGAAUUUUUACAUUUUAUAUUUUGUUUAUUUUUCCAGGGAGGAAAAUUUGUGUGAGGAGAAGAUACUGCCGCUAUUAUGGCUAUUAUAGAUACUACCGCUGCAGAAGAUGCUACUACUCUACAUACUGGAGAUACAUUUAAUGCGUCACGAGGCAGUGUGUGCAGAGCAUGAGGGGCUUCAGUCCUUAUCGUUACACAGAAUUUGGCGUCUUCAAACACAACGGCUUUUCCACUGCUCAAGUAUAAAAUGGAAUUAAAAUUUAAAUAUUUAUAAAUGUGCUUUUAAAAAUAUUUUAAAUAUGCUCUUCCUUAAUAAUUGAGCACGCAUGUUGCACAAUGUAAGUUUAGUCUUAACUUUUAGUGGGAUUAAAUGAUGCUUACUGAUACAGACUGUUCAAAACAGUUGAAAUGUUUUCCAUCUCCGCACAUAAUUUAAUGUUAAUUUCAGUGUAUAUAGGGUCCAUUUGUGUUUUGUGAAAUUGCUUCUGCUGAAUGAAAAGAAAAAAAAACUGUGGUUAAAUGUGAAAAAAUAAAUAACAUAUUAGCAUCUAA